GGAGAGCCGGAGGGGCAUGCUGGCUUGUCCCAGGUGCUGUUUUUGUUUGUUUUGAUGCAAAGAGGACAGUUUAGAAGACCUCCUUUUUAUCCAGGAGAUCCUCCCAGAAAAAGCAUCAUAGAACCUGCCUGCCUGCCUUUCAUUUUUCUCUUGCCCUAUCCUUUGUGGUAGAGGAGCCUGGAUGCUGUUACCUGUGUGAAAGGACAGGGUCAGAGGAGCAUCCUUUGGGCUUGAGCUAGAAUGUGUUGCCAAACACCAUGCCUUUCAAAAUGGUUCUCCGGCUCAUUCUUAGAAUCCUGCUUUGGGGACUGGUACUUUUAUAUGGAACGUGGGGUCCAAAUGACACAGAGAAAUUUUAGGUUUACAGCAAAAUUGAAGGCAAGGACAGCUAUUUCCUAUAUACCCCCGCUGCUAUCUACACAGCCUCAUCCACGGUCAGCGCCCCACACCAAGGCGAAGACAACACAGAUGCCAGUCACACAAAGGGAAUAUCUGCUCACACACCUUCAAACAGGAGGGUCACAAAGCCGCCAGGAGGAUGAUGGGAAGGGAAUCAAACCAAUACCUCCGCGACACAAACGGCCUUCAGAACCAACUGGCAAAACGCCCGAACAGCACUUUGUACUCCAAAGAGAAGUUAGCCGGUGCACACCAGUGGACUUACUCAGCCUUGGAGCUUGUCAGCUCUUCCGGACGCAUGUUUCUGCUCCACCAAGGAAGAGAAGAGAGUACGCUGGCAGCCGCUGCAGGGCAGGGGAGAAGCGUGGAGGCUCCCCGAAACAAGUGGUUUCAGCAGCUGCUAGAAACUUCCCCCUAAGACCUCCUCCCGGGGCCGGUGAGCCAGGAGCGGGGGUUCCUCGCAGCCAUCCCUGCGCGUUGUCCUGGCCUCGAGUGAAUUCAGGAAAACCCUGGAGUCAGCUCAGCAGCCCCACCUGAGGCACCAAAAACUGUAAUUGAAAGUGUCUGGGUCCAGCUGCCCACCCAUCAAAAACCGAUAAAGAGGCAAGACCCUGCGAAAGGUCUCAGCUCUGCUCAAAAUUUAUUUGGUCCCAUGACAUUUUCAUUCAAAUGCUAUGCCUUUCCUUUCUUCUUUAUGUCCAGCUUCAUCGAAAAUGGAGCCUCUUCUGUGGUCACUCUUUCCAACAGCACAGUGACCCAUUAAUGACCCAAGUGUUCACAGAAGCAGAGGUUUUCUUGGGGAAAAAAUUACUUGUCAUUCUCUUCAAGUGGCUCAUUCUGUUUGCAGUCGAAGCUGUAAACUGCUGGUAAGAAAAUUACAUUCUGACAAGCAACGCUCUCUCGGCUGGCGCACUAAUUGAAAUUGAACCACAGGCCUUAGAUGGAGAGCAAUCAGAAAGUUCAUGGAAUGAAUUGGUUGUUGUUUAAUCGCUCAGUCGUGUCUGACUCUUAGAGACCCUAUGGACUGCAGCCCACCAGGCUUCUCUGUCUAUGGGAUUUCCCAGGCAAGAAUAUCGGAGUGG
ensembl:lncRNA